rnacentral:rRNA from 1 species
AAAUUGAAGAGUUUGAUCAUGGCUCAGAUUGAACGCUGGCGGCAGGCCUAACACAUGCAAGUCGAGCGGAAACGAGUUAUCUGAACCUUCGGGGAACGGUAACGGCGUCGAGCGGCGGACGGGUGAGUAAUGCCUAGGAAAUUGCCCUGAUGUGGGGGAUAACCAUUGGAAACGAUGGCUAAUACCGCAUAACGCCUACGGGCCAAAGAGGGGGACCUUCGGGCCUCUCGCGUCAGGAUAUGCCUAGGUGGGAUUAGCUAGUUGGUGAGGUAA